rnacentral:lncRNA from 1 species
CAAAGGCGAUACAAUGGAAAGAUGUCAAUCUACCAGAAACAUGGAAAUAUCCAGUCAAAACCAUGCCAAGUUUACCUGCUAAGGAAAAUACAGAAAUAGAUUAUAUUAUUCAAAAUAAUGAUGGAACAGUAGAAUUAAAAUUUAAAAGAUCUAAUUCUUUUAGACAAACCACUCCUAGUAUAUAUCAACCAUCUAGACAUUCCUUAGAAUCCUCCCGUAGAAGACAU